rfam:Salmo salar isolate Sally breed double haploid chromosome ssa06, whole genome shotgun sequence.
UGAAUGCAUUUAUCCAAGUCGCUUUGGAUAAAAGCAUCUGGUAAAUGGCAUAUA